GGUGCUAUAGUGUAGUGGUUAUCACUCGGGAUUUUGAAGAUAUAUUCCCGAAACCCAGGUUCGAACCCUGGUAGCACCU